rnacentral:rRNA from 1 species
GCCUAGACGUAAACAAUUUAUUUACAUACUCUAACGCCCGGGUAUUACGAGCAAUGCUUAAAACCCAAAGGACUUGACGGUGUCCCACCCACCUAGAGGAGCCUGUUCUAUAAUCGAUAACCCCCGCUUUACCUAACCACUCUUUGCCUAAUCAGUCUGUAUACCUCCGUCGGAAGCUUACCAUAUGAACGCCCAUAGUAAGCCCAAUGGCUACCCGCCAACACGUCAGGUCAAGGUGCAACUUAUAGAGUGGAAAGAAAUGGGCUACAAUUUCUAAAAUAGAACAAACGAAAGGCUGCCUGAAACCCCAGUCAUGAAGGAGGAUCUAGUAGUAAAAAGAGAAUAGAGAGCUCUUUUUAAUCUGGCACUGGGACGCGUACACACCGCCCGUCACCCUCUUCAAUAGUUCUUUGUCUCGAUAAUUAACAAAUUAACCACGCCUU